GGGGAAUUUUGGACAAUGGGCGCAAGCCUGAUCCAGCAAUGCCGCGUGCAGGAUGAAGGCCUUCGGGUUGUAAACUGCUUUUGUACGGAGCGAAAAGGCUUCCACUAAUACUGGGGGCUCAUGACGGUACCGUAAGAAUAAGCACCGGCUAACUACGUGCCAGCAGCCGCGGUAAUACGUAGGGUGCAAGCGUUAAUCGGAAUUACUGGGCGUAAAGCGUGCGCAGGCGGUCUUGUAAGACAGGUGUGAAAUCCCCGGGCUUAACCUGGGAACUGCACUUGUGACUGCAAGGCUGGAGUACGGCAGAGGGGGAUGGAAUUCCGCGUGUAGCAGUGAAAUGCGUAGAUAUGCGGAGGAACACCGAUGGCGAAGGCAAUCCCCUGGGCCUGUACUGACGCUCAUGCACGAAAGCGUGGGGAGCAAACA
rnacentral:rRNA from 1 species